rnacentral:rRNA from 1 species
UACAGAGGGUGCAAGCAUUGUUCGGAAUUAUUGGGCGUAAAGCGCGUGUAGGCGGCUUUGCAAGUCGGGUGUGAAAGCCCUCAGCUUAACUGAGGAAGUGCGCCCGAAACUGCAGAGCUUGAAUACCGGAGAGGAUGGCGGAAUUCCCCAAGUAGAGGUGAAAUUCGUAGAUAUGGGGAGGAACACCGGUGGCGAAGGCGGCCAUCUGGACGGCUAUUGACGCUGAGACGCGAAAGCGUGGGGAGCGAACAGG